rnacentral:rRNA from 1 species
UACGAAGGGGGCUAGCGUUGCUCGGAAUUACUGGGCGUAAAGCGCACGUAGGCGGAUCGUUAAGUCGGGGGUGAAAUCCCGAGGCUCAACCUCGGAACUGCCUUCGAUACUGGCGAUCUUCGAGUCCGGGAGAGGUGAGUGGAACUCCGAGUGUAGAGGUGAAAUUCGUAGAUAUUCGGAAGAACACCAGUGGCGAAGGCAGCUCGCUGGGACGUGACUGACGCUGAGACGCGAAAGCGUGGGGAGCAAACAGG